AUUGAACGCUGGCGGCAGGCCUAACACAUGCAAGUCGAGCGAGCGGCGGACGGGGGAGUAAUGUCUGGGAAACAGCCUGAUGGAGGGGGAUAACUACUGGAAACGGUGGCUAAUACCGCAUACCAUCAGAUGUGCCCAGAGGGGAUUAGCUCGUAGGUGGGGUAACGGAUCACCUAGGCGACGAUCCCUAGCUGGUCUGAGAGGAUGACCAGCCACACUGGAACUGAGACACGGUCCAGACUCCUACGGGAGGCAGCAGUGGGGAAUAUUGCACAAUGGGCGAAAGCCUGAUGCAGCCAUGCCGCGUGUAUGAAGAAGGCCUUCGGGUUGUAAAGUACUUUCAGCGGGGAGGCGUUACCCGCAGAAGAAGCACCGGCUAACUCCGUGCCAGCAGCCGCGGUAAUAC
rnacentral:rRNA from 1 species